AUUGAACGCUGGCGGCAUGCCUUACACAUGCAAGUCGAACGGUAACAGGUCCUCGGAUGCUGACGAGUGGCGAACGGGUGAGUAAUAUAUCGGAACGUGCCCGAUCGUGGGGGAUAACGGAGCGAAAGCUUUGCUAAUACCGCAUACGAUCUACGGAUGAAAGCAGGGGACCGCAAGGCCUUGCGCGGACGGAGCGGCCGAUGGCAGAUUAGGUAGUUGGUGGGAUAAAAGCUUACCAAGCCGACGAUCUGUAGCUGGUCUGAGAGGACGACCAGCCACACUGUGACUGAGACACGGCCCAGACUCCUACGGGAGGCAGCAGUGGGGAAUUUUGGACAAUGGGCGAAAGCCUGAUCCAGCCAUGCCGCGUGCAGGAUGAAGGCCUUCGGGUUGUAAACUGCUUUUGUACGGAACGAAAAGCCUCUUUCUAAUAAAGAGAGGUCAUGACGGUACCGUAAGAAUAAGCACCGGCUAACUACGUGCCAGCCGCCGCAGUAAGAC
rnacentral:rRNA from 1 species